GGUCUGUAAUAUUAACUGUAGAUGACAUUUAGUCAUGGAGCAGAACGAGAAGUAAAAUGCACUUAGAUCAAAUUUCAAGAUAUGUAUGUAAUCCGCCACAGGGGGGAGCCAAAGUCUUUGUUUUGCUGUGGGUUGGGUUUUUCAGAUUUUUAGUGUAUACGUGAUUAAUUAUCUUGCCUUACAGGAAAACACUUUCUCCAGGUCCCCCGAUCCCACCCCACCCAAAUAUUGGUGUGAAUGGUUGUUUCUCAUGACAUGUGACCCUGUGAUGGACCGGCAGCCAGCCAUGACCACUGAGAUUGGCUCCACCCAGGAAAGAAGUACUGCUGACUGGACGUGGUUGCAGUUUAUUUGGGAGGCUGAAGUAGAAGAAGACGGAGGAGGCUGUACCAGAAUUUGGAACUCGAUGACAGGAUGAGGUCGCUGUAACCUGCCAGUUCAUCAGCGAGGCCGAGCUAAGGCCUUUAGCGCCGCCCAGGAGACACUGGCGAGUGUUUUCCUUGUCGCUGCAGUGGGAGAGCAUGAAGAUGCGCCUCUCUGCCUGCUGGCAGGAACAGCUCCACUCCUUGGUCGCUGCCGCCCUUCAGCAUUAGAACGACAUCACUGUGUUUGGCCCACUUACAGUCCUGACCGUCCACUGCUACGAUGUAGUCUCCUUCCCUCAGUCCUGCCUCCUACACAGUACAAACAUGAGGAGGAAAUAGUAAGAUAUUUGUUUCUGUUCUUGACAAAAGGCAUUUUAACUUGUUAUGCACUUGUCUGUUAUAUCAAUAUAUUGAGCCUAGUUCUUUAGGCCACUGAAUAAUUAGUCUCUCAAGACUUGAAUUUUUUUUUCCAAUGCACACUCAGUGCAACGUAGAAGAAAACAUCAAUACCCUGAUGUACUGCGAUAUUUCAUUUCACGAUACUGUAUCAAUAUUCAACAGCAUUGUAACAAUGUUUUUUUAACAAUUACUAGUCAAAUAUUCCUGGUGUUGGUUCAUUUUAUUUUUAUUUUCUUUCUUCUCUAGUGAUUUCAAAUGUAUAUCCCUCUGUUCCAGUGUUAGUGACCUGAUGUUAAAAUGGAACAGCAUUGAGUCUUUACUAUGGUGACAGUUUGAAUACAAUGCAAUUGUAUAUUGUUGUGCCUAAAGUAUCGCAAUAUAUCGUAUUGGUGCCCCUGUAUUGUGAUACAUAUCAUGUUGUCAGAUUCAUUCCAAUACACACUCCUAGAAACACGUGUUGGAAUCAACUUAGCCCUCACGUGUUUGUAUGCACUGAACACUGAUUAUAAAAAUGACAUCAACCCUCAGGGAUGUUUUUCCUUUUAUUAAAAUAAACCUUGAUUUCCAUUCACGCCUCCAAAUGUUCAGAGUUUCACUCCUGACUCACUCCAGUCUGACCUUCUCUCUAACGUAACACAAAUUGUUUAUUGUGUGUGUUUCAUUACCGCUGCACAGCCUCCAGGCACCACUCCUGCCACCAGGACGGGGGAGUCUCCUCUCAGUGUGAGGCCCAGUCCUCCCUCUC